rnacentral:rRNA from 1 species
UUUUUGAUAAUGAUUUAAAGUCAAAUYUGCUCCAUGAUUAUAAUUAAAUAGCCGCAGUAUCUUGACUGUGCAAAGGUAGCAUAAUCAAUAGUUUUUUAAUUGAAAGCUGGAAUGAACGAUUUAAUAAGGUAAAUAUUGUCUCAUAUUUAAUAAAAUUAGAAUUUUUUUUUUUGUUAAAAAACAAAAUUAAUUUUAAAAGACGAGAAGACCCUAUAGAAUUUUAUAUUUAAAAUAAAAUUAAUUUAAAUUAAUUAAUAUUAAUUUUAUGGGAAAAUAUUUGAUUGGGGAAAUUUAUAAAUUUAAAAAACUUUAUAAUUUUAUAUAAAUAAUCAUUUAAGUUGAUAUAAAUGAAUAUACUAUAGUUUUAGGAAGUUUGAUCUUAAAUAUAAAUCAAUAGAAUAAAUUACCUUAGGGAUAACAGCGUAAUUUUUUUGGUGAGUUCUUAUCAAUAAAAAAGUUUGCGACCUCGAUGUUGAAUUAAGAUUUAAUUUUAAUGAAGAAGUWAAAAAUUUUUASYCUGUUCGACUAUUAAAAUCUUACGUGAUC